UUUACUAAAAUAGGCAAAUAUCCUGUUUUUGUAGAAUUUCCAUCAUGAUAUAUUGCAGCUACCUGUGUGACUUCGGUUUGAAGCUUCUCUUCCUUCCACGUCUUUCUUAAAAACUAUUGACAUCACAUCAUUUUCAUCUUGUAUCAGUCACAGGAAAAAAAGAAAACCAGUAACUGUAAUUUCCAAAUUCUUAGCAAUUCUACAAUCUUCCAUGUUUUUCAAAUCUUAGAAUCCUGUCACUGACAUUAUUGUCCAGUGUAAAGGUGACAAGAGGGACCCAGUUUAAAUAUUCCUUAAAGGUUACAUUUUCUCUUUGAAAGAGUCAAUUCACAUAGUGUUACUCAUUAAUAUAUAAUGUUGCAGCUUAUCCAACUCCCGCAAUGUUAAAAAUAACCAUCUGACUUGUUACAUUAUCAGUAAAGUAGCACCAUUAUAGUCUGACUCAGUUCCAAUGUUCAAUAAAUAAGCAAAAAGCUUUUAAGUCUUUCUAAUAAAAGAUUUUGAUUUUCUUUGGAACUUCACGGAACCUUAUUUCAUAAAACCAACUUUGAAGCUACUGAUCCAAAAGAGUUUUUAAACCAUUGAGAAACUGAUCUCUGGAAUGAGUUCCUUUUUCUUACCAAGUUUCUUAUUUGUUCCAAAACUUAGUUUGUAGAUCAGUUGUUUAAGAUUCAGCUUAUAUUUCUUUGUAUAAGCAGUAUUAAUCCUUGGUGGUUAGCUUCAAGGAUCAAUUCACAUAAGUAUUCAGCCCAUUCUUACUUGAAAAAGUUAUGCUGAUUUUUACCAUAACAAACUACCACUUAUGCUAUGAUUCUAAUGAGUAUGUGUAUUUUGAGGACCACAUCUCCCUAUCUAAGCAAGAGAAGCUGUGUUUUUUUCCUUCUUGCUUUCCUGCUCUGGACUGGGAUCCAGCAACGGGAAAGAACAUAGAAAUGAAGGGAGGCUAGUGGGGAGCAAGCCCUUGCUGGGGCCAGAAUUUUAUUAAUUCCACAUGCUUUCUAACAGAGAAUGGCCCUCUUGGAAACUUGUUCUUCCUAUGGUCAAACUGGAAAACAGAGCAUUCGAGCCAAGGCUUACAGACCCCGUGUAGGUCUAGUGUUGUCACCUGAGAGAUGGGAAGGACUACAGCUGCCUGCCCAGUGUCAUUUGAAAGGCUGCGGUUGUGUUCACGGGUGCUUGAUAGGAGCUGGUGCAGACAGGCACCACCUCUGUUGAUAGCAGAGUUGGGCAGACCUCGAGCAGCUCCCAGCUGGGCCGGUUCUUGCACUGUUUGGACAGUUCCAGGUUUAAGUUCUUCCCUUUCACUGGCUGGCUGUUGUGCGUGGAGAGCGAGGCCGUGGCAUGCCACAGAACCUGUUGAAAAUUGAAAAAGUAGUUAAGUCAGAUGCCUGGUAACCAGUUUGGCUUUUUCACUAAUUGGCCCAUAUGUUUACUUCAUAUACAGAGUUAAAAAUCUGUUGUUCCUGUACUUACCUCCUUUCCUUUAUUCUGUUUUCAUUUGUUGUAUUUUACAACCCUGUUUUACUUAUGAAUCUUCAUUUAAAAGAAUUUUUAUGCUGUUUUCUGUGUUUCAAACCAAAGUCAGAUGUGGUUUUAUUUACCUCCUCUUCUCUGGGUGUUUAUGUUGGCCUUGACAUUUCAUUCCCAAGAUCUGAUUUUCCUUAUUGAAAAAAUAUCAAAUCUUUAUGUAAACUUCCUUUCAGUUCUAUAUUGUUAAAAUAUGUAUAUUAAUAGAAUAUAUAAUUGACUUCAAUGGUAUAUAGCAAUAUGUGUUAAUAUUUAACAUAUUAAUAUAAAUAAUAAAUAUCCAAUCUCCUCCUUUAUCAUUGCCAACUUUCCCUGCUCUGAUGUGCCAAGAUAUUUUAUGGGUCUUGCAGGGAUGGCUGUCAUUCAUUCAUUCACACAUUCACACAGUCUACGGAUGUUUGGUGAAAGCUAGCUCUGUGCCAGGACACGCUAAGCACAGGGAUGGCAAUACUGUGUCCCAGCCCUUGAGUAGACAGUGAAAGUGUUUUAAGUUUUAAGUACUCACUCCCUCAUUUUUUACAGCCCUCAGCUUCACAAACUGGGGUGUGAUUACAGCCUGGGAUCUGUAGCUGUGUGUCUGUGGAGGAAAUACUUGACAGGCAGUAACUUGAGUCUAUUGCAUUGCCAUUAUUUCAUGCAAAUUUUGUAUUUGGGACCAGUGAUUUGGGUUUUAUUUUGUGUUUGCAGGGUCUUCCGUUUAUGGUAAUGAAUGCCCCUCCUGGAACUCUCUGAUUUGUGUCUCAGGACACUCCAUUUCCUCUUGCUGGCUUGACCUCCAUCCCCUUGGUACACUGAGAUGUUGGUUUCCUUUACGUUGAUGGUACAGUUUCUUAGUAUUUCAAGUUGGAACAUAUCUUUUCUCAUGAAGCUUUAUUAUUUUAAGUUUCUCCCGGAUGAAGUGCUCUAGUUUAACAUUUGUUCGGAAUCGUGCCACGGCCAAUCUGGCACCAGCUGCACCGUCCUUUCCAGUGUGAUUCUCUGUUGCACCUUGUAGUAGAAUCUGCUUGUCAUCUUUCCCACCUAGAUCUUUGUGUUUGGUGAAAUGCAGCAUAUCUUUCUGAAAUUUAAAAUGAGAUGAGGUGGGGGAGACAAAAGGGAGGGCAGCUCUGAGGAAGAGAUAGACAAUUUAACUGGUAAGUAAUUUAAAACACAAUUUUAGGUUAAAAAUGCAUGACUAUAUUAAGGACUAAAAUACAACAUUUGACAUAAAUAAUUGUCCUACUUGUGGCCAGCCAGUCUUGCUGGUCCCCGCUUUAUGCCACAGGACUUCUCUCCCCUCAGAGAUUAGAAAUGCCUCUGGAAAAUUUUGAGAGGCCCUUCCUGUCUGAUUUUAUAAAUAUGUUUGUGUUAAAGGGAGAAGCUAGAGGAGGUUACAUCUUCCGAGCACAGCCUCAUUUCCUAGAGAGCGGCUGCAUUCUAAUGGCAAUCUUUUAGGAAUAGUCCCAUUGCUUUGUUGACUAAACCCAGUGGCAAUACUGAUGGUACAUAUCUCACGACAAACAGGCAUGGUGAGUGGAGGAAUAUUUCAGGGAGAUGGAUCAGUCCUCAAAGCAUUCACCUGUAGUAAACUGCAUGCACUACCUAUAGGCAGGGCCAGCUGUGGGCUGCUGAAUAUUUAUUUAGGCCUUCGUCAUCUUGGAUACAAAAGAUUAAGAAGGACCCAUUUAAGAAGGACAGUCUUCUUACCGUUGUUUCAGUGAAUGUCGUAAGCAAAACUAUGGCAUCAAGAUUUUCUAACAGUUGUAAAGGUAACGUUUUCUACAUAAGUUCCAGAGUGUAUGAAAUGUUGAAUGUUGAGGUAUCGGUUUUUCUUCUAGAGCAAAGGAUGGAAUACACUUUUCAAAGUCAGAUUUUUAUUUUCACUCAGGAUUUUUCCACAUUAAUUUUUUUAUUUAAGAGUGUCUACCCUGUGCACUGGGGAAACAGGAAAGGCAAAGGCCUCAUUCCCAUGGCGCUCACAGACAGGUGGGGAGAUAAGACAGGUAAAUAGGCAAUUGUAAGGCCCAGUGAUAAGUGCUCUGAAGGAAGGUUCUGCAGAGGGCUUUGGGGGUUGGAAAUGAGGGACACAAGGGGAAUGGCUAAGGAAGGCUGUGUAGAAGAGUAAAGCCUCAACUGGCUCCUGAAGCCUGACUGCAAAGUAGCCGGAAGAGGUGCGAGUUAAGGUUCUGUAGCCAGAGGGAUUAGCACGUGGAAACGCACAGUCACGGGAGUUGCCAGGUUUGGGAAGCUGUAAGUUGAACUUAGUAUAAAUGCAGGGAUAGGCAUUUGAAUGGAAUAUAAGAACUUUACCUCCCUUUAUGUCCUUUUGCUCUUCCUCAUUUAUAAUUGCUUUAAAUAUUCACUCAAUAUCCAGUUAGUGCCACAUCAGGCAGUAUUAUAAUGUUUCUUCUACCAUCAAACAUAAUUUAGAAAACUCAAGAGGAGAAAGCAAGCCCACUGAUUCACCCAUAUUUUUG